CUUCAUGAACCAGCUGAGGGCAUAUGAAGUGCACAUGACAGUCUAUAGCCCCUGCAGUUACAAGCAAUCCUUCCCCAGCAAUAACCUCAGUGUUAACCUGAGAGUUGAGAAGGUCUAAAUAUCAACCAUUAAUACCGCUGCUAAUUAUACCUUGGGUACUGCUUUAAUACAAGAGAACUUACACCAAUGAUCAUAUUAGGGAAAACACCAUCCAUGGUAUCUGGAUUGCCUGCUUUCCCAAGUGCAACAAUAAGGCCAUUUUUAAUACCAAUAUCUGCCUUAAAAAUACCAGUGUAAUCUAUGAUUACAGCAUUUGUUAUAGCAAUAUCUAAAGAUUCAGCUGGUGGAUGCCCACAUGAUUGACCCAUGCCAUCUCUUAUA
rfam:Theobroma cacao cultivar Matina 1-6 chromosome 2, whole genome shotgun sequence.